GCCUUAGAACUAACGCUGGCAGUGCGUCUUAAGCAUGCAAGUCAAACGGGAUGUAGCAAUACAUUCAGUGGCGAACGGGUGAGUAACGCGUGGAUGAUCUACCUAUGAGAUGGGGAUAACUAUUAGAAAUAGUAGCUAAUACCGAAUAAAGUCAAUUAAUUUGUUAAUUGAUGAAAGGAAGCCUUUAAAGCUUCGCUUGUAGAUGAGUCUGCGUCUUAUUAGCUAGUUGGUAGGGUAAAUGCCUACCAAGGCGAUGAUAAGUAACCGGCGUGAGAGGGUGAACGGUCACACUGGAACUGAGAUACGGUCCAGACUCCUACGGGAGGCAGCAGCUAAGAAUCUUCCGCAAUGGGCGAAAGCCUGACGGAGCGACACUGCGUGAAUGAAGAAGGUCGAAAGAUUGUAAAAUUCUUUUAUAAAUGAGGAAUAAGCUUUGUAGGAAAUGACAAAGUGAUGACGUUAAUUUAUGAAUAAGCCCCGGCUAAUUACGUGCCAGCAGCCGCGGUAAUACGUA
rnacentral:rRNA from 1 species